CUUGUUUCUUUGGUAGAGUUAAGUUUAUCUAACUGCAAAAAUCUACAGCAUCUUCCAUCCAGAGAUGCCAUGCGGCGCCUCACCAAAUUACGGCGCCUGAAAAUUAAAGGCUGUCCACAGUUGGAAGAAAGCUGCACCAAUCGUAGUGGCACAAACUCACAGUGGUCCAAGAUUUCUCAUAUUCCACAAAUUAGCGUGGAGUUCACGACAAUUCAGGACUUGCGCGACUAGAACAAGUGCUAUGCUACAAGGUUUCUGUGGUAAACAGUCUCUCCGGGACAUAUUCUUCGGCUAUAGACCUGUUACUGGCUCUUCCAUGAAUAUUUGGUGCUAUGGUGAAGCUAAUGAAAGGUAUGGAUGGUUGGUGCCAUUGAAAUCAGUUUAUGAGCUAUUCAUGUGUGGCAGAUCAAAUAAUUCUUACUGAUGAUGCUACAUUUAGACUGUUUCCAUGGAUUCAGCUAGGAGGUUUCUGCGGUACAAAAGGCAAAUUGGAUGCUAUCAUAGCAAUAUCCGUUGCGAAGGACCAGUUUGAGUGGCAUCUGUCCAUUAAGUUGAAGGUUUCUCUACUCUGCUUAUCAGACCAAGCAUUCCAUUAAAAGAAGACACUUUUGAGAAGAAGACAUUGUGAAGGUCUGAAGGAGCAAAUGCAACAAUGGCCGACCCUGUAAUUAGUGCUACUGUUCAAGUUUUGCUUGAAAAGCUACUUUCUCUCACUAUCGAAUUCUGUUCAUGAGCUAUUCAUAAGAUGAAGCUGUGAUACGAAGACAAAAUGUAUGUUCCGGCUGACACAGGAUUCUUAGAUUCAAGACAGAUUUCAUU